CAAUAUUAAAUAAAUUAAAAAGACAACAAAAAUAUAAUUUUUGCUUCUAUUAUAAUAAAUUACUGCAUUCUUCAUUUAGUAUUACUGUCAUUGCAUUUUACACGUGGUGUAGCAUAGCAAUAAUAGGAAAACGUAAAUGCUUGUUUUCCAAUGGACAGUAUCACUUUUUAUAAUAUAUGAGCGUAAUCGCUCACACCAAGAGACACCGCUGGCGCAAGUUUUACGUCAUCGUAGACGCGGCAUUUAAUUUCUCGACCGUGUCUUAAUCGUCUUUCUCUUCCGGCAGCUACUUUUGCGCGCGAACGCAGACGGAAAAUUGGGGCUUAAAUUUCCGCGCGCGUGCAUGCAAACAGGAGAGAGAGAGAGAGAGAGAGAGAAAGGAAGAAGUCGUGGAGAGUUAAUUAGCGCAGAAAGCGCAAUGCCGUUUUUGCCACCUUCCUUCAAAACAGCAGCGGGAGUUCGGUUUUAGAGCCCCCUUUUUCUUCGCUGCGUACGAUAAUUUAUAAUUAAUAAGCGUGGAGGCUCGCCUUACCUUUUUCAUUAUUUUAAAUCAGCUUGUAACGGAAAGUGAAAGAGCUCACUAUAAAAACUAAUUUACAUAAUACGCGUUCAUUGUUCAUUCGAUCUAAUUACAAUAAAGUUUUCUGAAGCUAAAUCAAACAAUUCUUUUAUUUAAUCGGAAUAUUAAUAUCACUUCAAUAUAAAUAUAAAUAUAUACUUUUAAAUAUUAAAAGAUCAAAUUUAAUCAAUUCCGCAAAUUAACAUUUUGUUAGUUUUAAUUCUUAUGUGUGCCGGAAUUUAAUACAAAAUAUGUAAUUAAAAAAAAAUUACUAUCUAAACUCAUUUUUAUGAUUGAAUUGUUAGUUUCAAAAUAAACGAUGUUUAUAUUAAUGUAUUCAUCUGGUAAGUAAUAGACUAAAUUUGAAUAAAAUUUAAUACGCUUCUAAAUUGUUUAACUCGAUUAUUUUAAUUAAAUUAAUGAUGUUUUGAGUAGGAGCAGUGGCGACAUAAAAAUGAUUAAAAAAUGAUUUAAACAUAUUGGUACAAUUUGACAUUUCAAAUUUAGAUGACAAGACAAAGAAUGUGUGCCGUCGUUUGUAUUAAUUAUUUCAUAUAAAUAAAUAUAAUUACAAAAAAGAUUUAAAAAAUAUAAUAUGUGAUAUAAAAUGAUGAAAAUUACAAAUAAACGAUUUCUCAAUUAAAUGGACAAUUUAGUAGUUCAAUUGAUCGAGUUAUAAUACUUUAUCGCGUACAUGUACUGCAGCAUCGAACAUGAUUCAACCAUUAUUACUACACGUUACUCUCUAUCUCUCCUUUCCUCUUUUAGUUUAUUAUAUUACGAUGUUUUCAUCUAUUCGUGCAUAAUACAUAAUGGAAUACGCAAUGAAAGAGGGAGUGCGUGCGUUGAUGCAAAAUACGGGAUGAAAUUGAGAUCGUAAUAAUACUGGCCAUCGUGGAUAAAUCUCUGAUAAACUUUGACAUUAAUUCAAUAAUAGUAAUGGCUAGUCCGCGUUAUUUUAGCGCGCUGCAUGUCGAAAAUGAAUUAUGCUUUACGCUCACGUUCGGGCUCUGUUCCUCCGUGUAUUUAUCGUAUUAAAAUAAUUCCCAUAUAAUGCCAUAUGGCGCAUUAAUCGCAAGUAUAACCCAUAAAAUGAUAACCUAUUCACUCACGAAUGACACAAUUUGUAGCAAAAAUAAAAUUUAUUCGACGAAAUCGAGAUCUAAAGCACGACCGACCGUGAUUAUCCAGUCUCUUCCCCUAAUUUUCUUUUUUAAAUUUUAGGCUAGUUAACAAUUUGUCAUUACGUGUGAUUGAGCCGCUUAAUGACUUUUAAUCGUAAACGCAAUCACUUAGCCGUUGUUUAUUUCCUUUGAUUUCUACGGCAAUUGGGCCGCGGCGUUAAAUAACGGCGCGAGCAGCUUUGAGUCUGGAUUAUACGAAGCUGAUCCCGGAUUAUAAAAGAGACCGGAUAAUAUUCGCAACAACGUCAUGCCAUUCCCGGCGCUUUUAUCUCUAUAUGAAAACUGCUUUCUCGCACAAUGUGAAAAAUCCAGUUGAUAGCCCUACGACGACAGACGAAUGUAAAGCGCAAAGCCAUAAAGCAUUUACGUGAGUGCGGGGACGGAUCGUGGAUUCUCUCUCUCUCUCUCUCUCUUUUCUCUCUCGAUGAGCGAGAGAAUACCAAAUGGUAGAUCGCGAGCCCAUUGUUGACGCAAUUCUUCGGCCGGUUGUAAAACGUUGCUCAUACGCUACGUUUGUCCGUGUAACGCGACGUCGCGAUUGUUAUGCAUUUAUUUGAGUUAUUAUUUCAUUGCUAUAGCUCCGUGAUUAUGAUACGGCGUAUAUGUGACGUUUUCAAAAUAGGAUAGUUCUAUUCUUCUCUCUCGAAAGCAAUACGCUACCAUCGCAAAAAUGUCGAUGAAAUUCGAUAUCGCAGAGACUAUGCUUGGCAUUGGAAAAUUGCGAAAAUAACUUAGGCAGUUUGUGCGGUAUUAUCUGCAUCCGCAUGAGUAGCCUCGAGGGAAAUUAUGUAUUCUCUCGUAACGUAACGCGCUUAUGACGCACGUAUGUAUAAUAUAUUGAUAAUAGGAACAUCAUAGAAAAUCAUUUCAUGCUAUAGAUUAUUAAAAUUUAUUAUCAUAAUCCGCAAUUAUAACAGAAUAGAAAUUACUUGAUAAUUUAAACUGUUAUAUAUAUUCUAUAUUAUCGUAUAAUUAAUAUGAUUUAAUAAUGUAAUUUAAUGUACAAUUUUUUAAUAGUUAUAGGAGAGUUGAACGAAUGAUUUUUUUUACGCGACAAUGUCACGCUUUGCUUAUUUUAAAAUCACGAAACAACAUUAAGAACACCCUGCCAAAUUUCAAAGAGUCAAAGAGCUGUAACAAUAUUUUUCGUUUUUUGCUUAAAAAAUACGCGCGAAUAUGAGAAUUGAAACGAGUCGCAACAAUUAAAAGCGUUUACACAAAACCCGAAUGGCAAAAUACAAAAGCGAACGUCGUUACGCGUACGUCGUAUUGUUCACCAUAAAAAUAUCGCAAUUAAAGUUGAAUCCCCUCCAGGUUCAUUUUUCGACGUGUACGUCGAAACGGGCGAUUUCACGAUCGGGAUCCAAUCGCAUAAUGUAUAAGGAACAACGUGCCGAGAUCCGAUGGAUUUUCUGCCGGCUUGGCCUAGCCGGAUCGCGGAUAAUUCGAGUGGAUCAAAUCGGCUGCAAUUUACUCGUGGCCUUAAGCCCAUUUAUACAUAGAUGCGUCCCGGAGCACGGCACUCGGAACGCCGCGUUAGAGAACAGCCGAAUGCUACAAAUGGAUCUGCAUGGAGUGAUCUGUACGAGCGAACGUGGGGACGUUCCUCUCCAGCACGCGCAGAUUGCACCGUGCAUACGCCGCAUUAGAAGCGUUCGAAUGCGGCGUAUUCCGAGCGGACAUUUUGAACGCCCGUCCCGAUCUGCUUCUAAAGCCGCAAAGACCUCCUCCCCCCAUCCUCCAUACAAGAGACUACUCUCUUCCCUUUUCCGCAAAAGGCUUUAUUCGAAAAUCGCUAUUUGUCAUAAUGAAUAUUUAUAUAAAGCUUAUACAGAGAAGCUUAUACCAACGCACACACACACACACACUCUCUCUCUCUCUCUCUCUCUCUUUCUUGUUUAUAAUUUCACUGAAUAUCAUAAUUUUAACGCGAUUUCUCUCGCGAACAGUAAUGAUUUCGCCGAGUAUCAUCUUUCCGUGCAGUCCUUUGAUUUUCAAUAUUCUAGUAUUUUACAAUACUGAAAUUCUCAUCUUUUGUAAGAAUAUUCAGGAAUAUAGAAUCUAUGUCACGAGGUGUGAACGAUAACGGCUUUAACGAUACAUUUUAAGAUCGAUGGAGAACUUGGAUAAUUCGAGGCGGUCUUUGCAAAUUCGAUACCGAGACUGAAUUCAUUGGAACGACAUGUCGGUCGUAUAAUCGGCGCUUCAAAUGCUCUCCCUGCUUUGAAUUUCCUCUAAAGUGCGCUAAUAUGCAUACAACUGGUAUGAGAAUUCGCUCAGCUUGCGCUACAAAUAAAUCGUUUUAAUCAUGCGCUUCACAGAGGUAUUAAUUGAAUUUGCUUAUGCAACUUUCAACGUUUUAAUCAAUGCCUGAAUGUACUUUUGUAUUUGAUGCUCGUAGGCCAAGUAACACAAGUUACGCAGUGCAAGUUUAUUCGAAACAAUGAAUUUGAGUUUACGGCACGCUUACGGAGAUUUUUUUUAAUAUAAACAAAUUAAGUGCUAUUCGUCUGAAGGAAAAUUAUAGUUGCAUACAUCCUGAAUGCAGUUUCAUGCUGUAUUGUUUUUGUUUGCAGUGGUCGUUGUAUAUUUGCCCGCACGUUGCUAAAAGCAGCCGCUAUAAAUUUUGCCAGCGGAUAUAUCUACGGUAGAAUUUAUAGCGAUGUAAAAACUAGAUAUCUCCGAUUUUUACGAAAUUGGGCUACGCGAUAGCGGGCUACACGCGCGAACUACGUGGUGCGCCGGAGACGCAAAUAACGCGCGAGAGGACGAAUCUAAUUAGUGCGCCGUAAUAUGGAUGUUUAUCUGCUUGUUUUAAUUAAUGAUGCACCCGCAUAUUAUUUUCCGUGCAGUUGCGUUUCGGUCGCGCGCGUGCGCGUGGCUUUAGCAUUCUGAAAUAGCGUCCGCUUUUAUGCAGAUCCGUAAUAACAUAUAAGCGUAACUCUGGAUUAGUUUCCUCCAGUAUUCCCUCUUAUCGCGAGUUCCAUCUUCCUUUUAUCGAAUAAUAUAAUACGAUUAUGAUACGUAAUUUAGACGAUUGCAUCAAUCAGUCACGCGUCAGUGUAUAUAUGAUGAGCAAAAGCGAUGAACAUGUAAUAUUGGAUACUGAAGGAAUAAAUGUUAUCAUUUUUUACCUCUCCUCGUGAAUGCGAAAACGUUUGCUUCUUUCGUGGAAAAGGACGCCGCGCGUAGUUCGUUUUUCGCUCAUGAAUUGUAGAUUAUUUUAUUAUCGCCACGUUGCGCGUCGUUUAAUAGAUCGUGCAAUUUUCAAUGCUGCAGGAGCUACACACAACGGCUUACGCGGCACUUCCUUAGGAUAAGCGUGCAUUCUUGAUCGCGCACAUCUAUCAAUAUUGGAAAUAUUAUGCAUUGAAUGCAGCCGCCGCUGUCCAGAAAGGAGGAACGAAGAGAAUGCACAAUGGAUAGCGCGCGAAUUCCUGAGAAAAUCGAUGAGGUACCUUUCAAAGCGAUCGUCCGCAAAUUACUUGAAGCUCAUUGUGACUCGAAAUUGAUGAGGUCGUGGACGCGCGAACGCGGUUGAGCUUCUACGAAGCUGACAUCAUUCCGGAAAAGAUCGAGCGAGGAGAGCAACGGCGAAUCUGAUAAAAGAGACGUAGGAGAUGAAGAGGAAAUAAGCAAAUAGGAGACGAUGGUGCCAGCGGCAAUGCGAUAUACAUAGCGAUGAGAUGUACAAAUUCGGACAGUGAAAGAAAAUCGUAUGGUGCUCUAGAAGAAUCAACUUCCAGACGUUACAGAAACUUGCCAGAAUCAAAUCAAAGAAGAAACAGACAUUAUUAAUGAGUAAUUGUUAUUAAUUGUGAGUAUGUGUGUACGUAUAUUUUCGAAUAUAUUAUAUUCAUCGUAACGAUCGAUUGUAUCAUAGCCAUAUGUUUCAUUUCCAUAUCAUUUGUAAUAUACAAUACUGCUUUCGAUUUUGAUUUUAUUCGUUUGUAUUAAAAAAAAAUAAUACUGCCAAUAUAAAUGUGAAAAAUAAAUGGUUUCAUUAUAUGGAACGUA